GGAAGGUCGCGGUAGCUGAACUAGACUCCAGUUUCUAAGGCUCCAGUUCUGGACUCUACGACACCACCGCAAGUGAUUGCGCCGAUGGAAGUCUCUCAAAACAG